rnacentral:rRNA from 1 species
UACGAACUGUGCAAACGUUAUUCGGAUUCACUGGGCUUAAAGGGUGCGUAGGCGGCCAUGUAAGUAGGGUGUGAAAUCCCCCGGCUUAACCGGGGAACUGCGCCCUAAACUGUAUGGCUGGAGUGAGAUAGGGGUGUGUGGAACUCCGGUGGAGCGGUGAAAUGUGUUGAUAUCGGAAGGAACGCCGGUGGCGAAAGCGACACACUGGGUCUCGACUGACGCUGAGGCACGAAAGCCAGGGGAGCGAACGGG